rnacentral:rRNA from 1 species
GUAUUGGCAUGGGUAGUACUGGAUAGUGCUGUCGACCUCUCAAUGUAUUAGGUUUAUCCAACUCGUUGAAUGGUGUGGCGGGAUAUUUCUGGUAUUGUUGGCCCGGCCUUACAACAACCAAACAAGUUUGACCUCAAAUCAGGUAGGAAUACCCGCUGAACUUAAGCAUAUCAAUAAGCGGAGGAAAAGAAACCAACAGGAUUGCCUUAGUAGCGGCGAGUGAAGCGGCAAAAGCUCAAAUUUGAAAUCUGGCGCCUUCGGUGUCCGAGUUGUAAUUUGAAGAUUGUAACCUUGGGGUUGGCUCUUGUCUAUGUUUCUUGGAACAGGACGUCACAGAGGGUGAGAAUCCCGUGCGAUGAGAUGCCCAAUUCUAUGUAAGGUGCUUUCGAAGAGUCGAGUUGUUUGGGAAUGCAGCUCUAAGUGGGUGGUAAAUUCCAUCUAAAGCUAAAUAUUGGCGAGAGACCGAUAGCGAACAAGUACAGUGAUGGAAAGAUGAAAAGAACUUUGAAAAGAGAGUGAAAAAGUACGUGAAAUUGUUGAAAGGGAAGGGUUUGAGAUCAGACUCGAUAUUUUGUGAGCCUUGCCUUCGUGGCGGGGUGACCCGCAGCUUAUCGGGCCAGCAUCGGUUUGGGCGGUAGGAUAAUGGCGUAGGAAUGUGACUUUACUUCGGUGAAGUGUUAUAGCCUGCGUUGAUGCUGCCUGCCUAGACCGAGGACUGCGAUUUUAUCAAGGAUGCUGGCAUAAUGAUCCCAAACCGCCCGUCUUGAAACACGGACCAAGGAGUCUAACGUCUAUGCGAGUGUUUGGGUGUUAAC